GACGAACGCUGGCGGCGUGCCUAAUACAUGCAAGUCGAACGCACUCUCGUUUAGAUUGAAGGAGCUUGCUCCUGAUUGAUAAACAUUUGAGUGAGUGGCGGACGGGUGAGUAACACGUGGGUAACCUGCCCUAAAGUGGGGGAUAACAUUUGGAAACAGAUGCUAAUACCGCAUAAAACCUAACACCGCAUGGUGUAGGGUUGAAAGAUGGUUUCGGCUAUCACUUUAGGAUGGACCCGCGGUGCAUUAGUUAGUUGGUGAGGUAAAGGCUCACCAAGACCGUGAUGCAUAGCCGACCUGAGAGGGUAAUCGGCCACACUGGGACUGAGACACGGCCCAGACUCCUACGGGAGGCAGCAGUAGGGAAUCUUCCACAAAUGGACGAAAGUACUGAUGGAGCAACGCCGCGUGAGUGAAGAAGGUUUCGGAUCGUAAAAACUCUGUUGUUGGAGAAGAAUGUAUCUGAUGGUAACUGAUCAGGUAGUGACGGUAUCCAACCAGAAAGCCACGG
rnacentral:rRNA from 1 species